CGGUUAAUCCAAUAACCCCAUGCGAAUAAGCCAUUGAUUAGGGCAACAAUAUAAAAAGCGGCGAUAACAGCGAAAAUAGCAAAAUCUCAAUAGUUUAGGUAUGAGGCUGCGGUGAAAGCGGAGAGCUGUGGGGAGUUUCUAUGGGUGGUUUUUGCCCCUCUUUGUCUUUCUUCGCCGCCGAUGAUCACUCAAAUGAAAAAAAUAAAUUCCGAUUGCAAAACUAGCCUUUCGGUGAAAAUAAGUGUUACUCCGUUCACUUUUACUUUUGGGCAAUGAGGCUAUGAAGAUUAUUGUCUUCUGCGGAAGAUGAAACAGACAUAUUGCUAUUGAGCUCGAAAAAACUGUAACUUGGCGUGGCAGCUCAGAUGGGUCUGUGAGAUAUUGGAGAAAGUUCCCUUUCAGGGUGUUUUUACCUCUCAUAAGGCUAACUGAUGCUUGCAGCCAUGACGGUUUUUUCAAAGCUUUUUGGUUUUUGUCUGAGAAAAGGCGAAUCUGAGCCUACCCCAUUACUUUGAUUUUUGUUUUUGGUUUUCCCUAUGCUCCUUGAUUAUGUAGGCGAAAAUCUAAGCUCAUCCCUCGAUUUAACUUUUAGUUCCAUUUCUGAGACUGUAACUCGGAGAUGCUUUGUGGGAAUAAUUCUUAGCUUGAAGAUGGUUGAUUUUUCCAUAAUGUUAGUGGAAUAAUUUCUCCAAAAUUUAUGAGUUUUAGUAAUUGAAUGAGAAACGGCGAUGAUAGCAAAAAUCAUUGAUGGCCAAAGAUCAAAUAAGAAUGCCAAACUACCACAGAUCUUCUAUUUGUUGUGAAUUAAUCUCUUGACUAGUAUGGUAACUCAACCUUAACAGCACUGUAUUUUUAUUUGCGCCGAUUGAAACAAACUGAGUCUGAGUGUUGUCCGAUGUGGCAUUGCUAAAAAGAAGUCUUGUUAGUUACAAAUCAUGUCAAGAUCCCUUGCUGCAAGGUACUCUUGCAUUUUUGCAGACAAAAACUUGCAGGUGAUGGGUUUUUGUUCCCAUUAAGAUGAAGUACUAGUUUGAAGUGGGGCUAGAUUCUGAUGUGUAAGAAAUAUUGUAAAGAAACUACACUUAUGUUGAUGAAAACUCCAGGAACUGCGUUUGUCUUUAAGUUCCAAAUUUCCGUGAAAUCACUGUAGAUUCUAGCUACAGCAGGAACGAAAUGGAGAGAGGAGGAUUGGAAAUCAAUAAUGUUUGAUUGGGAUGAUCUAAUGUUCUUGAAAGAGCUAUUUUGCUUGGUCACAGCUAUGGACCUUGUUGAUAUGAGUCAAUAGCAUCUGCCCCAUAUCUUAGAUAUUUCUGAUAAGCAGGAUAAGUUGAUCCAGAUAUUCUCCAUUAGCUCCUUUAAGUAAUAACCACCACUACAACGACAACAUACUCAGUGCGAUCCAUAAGUGGGGUUUGGGAAGGGUGGAAUGUAGGCAACCCUAAGUAAUAAUACCUUGUUGAUAUGAGUCAAUAGCAUCUGCCCCAUAUCUUAGAUAUUUCUGAUAAGCAGGAUAAGUUGAUCCAGAUAUUCUCCAUUAGCUCCUUUAAGUAAUAACCACCACUACAACGACAACAUACUCAGUGCGAUCCAUAAGUGGGGUUUGGGAAGGGUGGAAUGUAGGCAACCCUAAGUAAUAAUGCCAAUUGAAGGUCUGUUAUUAAUGCAGAGAUGAAAGGAUAUCCCUUUAAUUAAUGCCUUUCUAGAGCUUUUGGCUAAAAUCAAGUAUCCAAGAACCACAAAUAGUAGUCUCUAGCAGGGUAAAUGGAGAUCCAGCCAAGCAUAGCUGCUCUAGUGAGUUAUGAGCUAUUGCGCUUGCAAUAAUUAUAUGUAAAAACUUCCAUUUACUUUUUAUUUGUAAUUCUAGGCAUUGAACAGGUAAAUGAAACCCUAUGUGUGUUCCUUUUUCUCUUUAAUGUGGACCUGUUUGCGAGUGUGCAUUACGAAAUUUGUCGAUAUCAGAAGGUGUACAUCUUUAUAAAACUGCCACCAACCACAACCAAAUAAAAAAUUCUCUGUUUUUUUAUUCUGGGGAUGUAAAUGCUAAGGUCUAUUUUUGAGUUACGUUAUUGCUAAAGAUGUACUUCUUAACACCUUAGGCUAUUUUUCUCCCCUUUUUUUUUGUUUUUUAAAACUCUCUGUAAUGAAUGACAAUGCUCUGCCUCUUUGAUAUGAGUGUGCCUAAAAGUGUUCGCUUUUUUACUUGAAUUUUAGGAAUGUGAGUGCUAACAUCUAUUUUUGAGUUUCCUUGUUGAUAAAUAUGCUCUUUUGAUUGAUACUUAAUCCUAUUCUCCACUCUCUUUUGAACUCUGUAAUGAAUGGGAAUGCUCUUGCUCUGAGAUUGGUGUGACUUAAUGUGUUUUUCUUUAUCUAGAAUCGUAGGCAUCAUUAUUAAAAGUGUACUUUCUGAUACUUUAGCCUUUAUUUUCUGUGUUUGAACUCUGUAUAAAGAAUCACAAUGCUGAUUCCUUGAUGUGGGUGUGCCUAAAUGUGUUUUCUUUUGUCUAGAAACUUAGGCAUGUGAAUACUGACGUCUAUAUUAAGAUACUUUGUUGCUGAGAUGUUUUAUUGGAGUAAUCCUUAUUGGUAAAGCGCAUAAUUUCAGUCAUGUUACCUGUAUUUUGAACUGUAAUUUGAUACUCAACUUUGAAAUAAUAUAAAACCACUCGAUCAACUUAUGCAGGUGCUAUCUCCGCACUUCAUGUUGUCAGAAUACAAGCCAAAAGCUAAGACAGGCGAUGCAUUUACAAGUGAGUAAGCUCAUUUUAUAAAUUAUGCAAAUUUUGUAGUUGUUGCCUGCUUUAUGAAUACCCACUAAUCUUUGAGAUCGAUUCCAUGCUAAUUUGUUUUUUGAGUCCUUGUUUCUAUUGGUAUUUUGCCGCAUUUUGUGAUUGACGUAAACAAGAUGUCAUACUUCUUGCUCUUCUCCUUCAAUUAAUUGUGUAUCCUGUGCAUAAAGGAAUUCAUCCUAAAUGAUGAGUAAUUCAAGUAAGCUAUGGAUUAACAUCCAAAUGAAGCUUUUUUGUCAUAGUUACACUGAUAGAUGAGAUUCCUUUAUAUGUGUUAUCCUAGGGUUCCUUUUUCUUGAUGAAUGAUCUCAUAGUUUGUUAUGUUGUAGAUAACAAGAAAUAUAAUACUUGAUAAAAAAAGAAGAGAGAUAAUACUUAUUAAAAAAGAGAUAUUACAUGAGCGCCGAAGGGAGUGGCAUAGUUGUCAAUGAAGUGAGUGAAAACCCUAGAGACUGGUUCAAAUCCCAACCGCAACAACAAAAAAGGCUGUUAUUUCUUCUUAUCUGUCUAUGCCUUGGUAUGUUAGAGUUAACCAAUACCUGUAUUGAUGAAAGGCAAGCAUGUAUCUAGUGGAAUUGUCGAGGUGUGCACAAUAAUGGUCCGGAUACAACCAUUAUAAAAAAGAAAUACAUGUCUUUUCUAAACUGCUUUUUGCUGAUCCUUGGAUGUUACAGAAGCAUUUUACCUCCCAAAAUUUUCCAGUAAGUUUUCGUGCACCUCUUACUAGAGCGGUUUUCAAAAAUCCGGUUAAGCAACAUAUACAUCGCUUUUGCUGCUUUGAAAGGGUGUUUAACAUUAUUUAAACGGAAAAGGGCCAACAUUGCCCCUAGACACUGUUAAAUUGAACAAUUUUGCCCUCCUUUAAAAAAGUUUCUCGUUCCUAUUCCUGCCGUUAACAAAGUGGCUCGAUUUUGCUCUUAUGGGCUAACAACAACAAUUAAAGGACAAAUUUAGACCAUUCACAAAGUCCAUUCUGGCACUACUUAGCAAAGAGGGAUAAGUUAGAAUAGGAAAAUCACAACAACUGUUAUUAUUCUGGAGAAUGAUUUGCAAGGCUUCAUAUCUUUCACCUCAUAACUCCCUGUAAAUUUUGUAAUGCAUAACUUCUCAUCCUUCUCAAUUACCUCAAAUCGAAUUCUGUAAAAAUUAAACCCAAGGUCAACAUAUCCACCUUCAAUCAGCACAGAUUGCUUGUAUAUUUUCUCAUUAUCCACUAUGUUGAAUCUCUCGAAAUAUGGUAUUCCUGGUGUACCUGUUUUAAUAAAAGUUAAACACGAUGCAUGUAGAAAAUACAUAUCAGAUGUUGAUCAAUAAUUUGUUGUAAUACUUUAGAUGAACAUCCUUAUGGUCAACUUUGGUCUCUGUGUGGGUGUAUAUAGUAUAGUUGAAUGUGACAUGCACUGUCUUGACUUCUUAUCUCUUUGGAGAUUCAUUCAAAAAGAAAUCUACAGUACCUUUCUUUAUAGUAUGAUCUUUCUGUGUCCAUGUCUUUGGCUAUGUAAUAUCCAGGUUGUUUUGGCUUAUCCACCUUAGUAAAUAGUCAUUCUUUGGUGAUAAUGAUGAUGAUUCUUCAGAGCAAAUGGUAUUAGGAAUUGAUAUGGCAAGAGACGCAUAUCUUGGUGAGAUAAGCCUAUCCUGGAAGGUUACUACCAUGCCCAUGAUGGUGUUGGAAAAUCUCAAUGCUGAACAUAAAGCCAAUUUAUGCUCACUUUUAAGCCAAAACAAUGUUAAAAGUAGGGCAUUAUUUCAUAGCUAAAGUAGGUGCUUGGCUUAUAUGUAUGGAGUAACUUUCUUCAAUUCUUGUGCUUUCCCUGCUCAUCCUUUAAUUUCUCUUGUAAAGUUCCAGCAAUUUUAAUCAAUGUGCAUCAUAUUUAGUUCGCAUAUAUACGUAUUAUCUUACAAAGAAAAGCCUUGUAGAACAGCACGUCCUUAAAGUACUUGUAAGGACAGACAUGUUCUUGUAAUGUGUUUUUAGUUCACAGUACUGCGACAAAAGACUGUUAGUGUUAGUUUGUGGUUUUGAUGAAUAUAGUUCUCUUAUGUGUGCUUUAAGUGAAGAAGGCAAAAACUCU
rnacentral:lncRNA from 1 species